AUGAUGUCUGUCACUUCCUGGCUACUUUUUUGAGCACUGAUACCAACACUGGUGCUGUUAACUAAUAUUUCACUGACAAUUCACACAUUCAUCACAGCAACCCACCAAAACAACAGAGAUCCGUUUCCUAGCAGAGUGGCUGACGCGUUUCCGGGUUUCCUUUUUGCAGGAGUUUUAUCUGUCAAUCAGUCAGUCAGUCACUUUUUUUGGGAUGGAAGCCGUCGCGACGCACUACCGUUUAGCAACACGAACGAACGUUUGCAACCGUACAGAGAACCCGAUUCCGACUGGCAUCCGCUGGCAGACGGUACCGUGAAGUAAACCGAAGAGAGAGCUGCGGACUCCGACUCAGACUCUGAUGAUGGCGACGGUGACGACGGAGAGGAUGGCUGGAUGCUCGUAUCGUAGCCGCCAAAGAAUCACACCAACUACCAGCGCUGGAAAGCAACACCAACACCAACAGCAGCAACAAAAAAAAACGAGCCAACAGAGAGGAGAGCGCCAGAACGUGAGGGCAAACAUUGGCUGGCUUACGUUCCGGUCGGUGGUGGAUAAGCUGAUAAACAAAAAUAGUGUCCGUACGAUAAGCCUUGAGCUGAGCGCUAACCGGUUUUGUCGCUGGCCUGGAGGAGUGAGCUGAGCAUGUGUUGGUAACAGUUUUCCUUCGAACUGGGGUGUUGAUAAAUCCUAAACUGGAUGGAUGACGAAAGAAGAUUUUAUGGGUUACAUCACCAACGUUUUUUAUCCAUACUUAAUCCGUGAGAAUAUUCAGCUUCCAGUGAUCUAUUUCGUAGACGGUCAUCGAAGCCGGUUGAUGUGACCAUAUUCCAGCUGGACCAAACAGGUGCUGAUUUGGUGACCUGAGCAUCCAGGAAAAAUAAUCAGGUUGGAUGAACUUGAUGGUAUUUUGGAGAUGACAAUGAGGACCUCGUUCAAACCGCAAACUGUAAUGAACGGUUUUUAAGUUUGUGGCCUUUAUCCUUUCAACGCUAAUGCAGUUGACUACUCUAAAUGUAUCGCGGGAAAGUAUGAAGAUCAGCUUCGUCAGAAAAAAAAAACGAUGGGGUCUACGAUAGGGUACUAAUUCCCAGUCAAGACAUUGAAAAUGCAGUCAACAUGAUAUCCACCGAAAAAGCUGCAUUGUAUCGAUCAGUUGAACCGGAUGAUUUUAUAAGUAAAACCGAAAAAAAAAUAUUGUGCUAUAUCUAUAGAACGCUAUUGGCGCCGCUCGAUGAAUGCGACAUUUCUGAAGAGGAAUUGACCUGCGAAAGCCUAGCAACCGUUGGUAGUAUUACAGAAAGUCAUCAGCAUGGAAUAACCCAAACCGACCCAGUGAUUGAACCAUUACAAAAGACGCUUGUGCUUGAUCAAGAGCAAAUGACCAACACAGAUUUUUGUCGGAUGAUUCAGCAAUCGGAUAUAAUAUUUUCAAAUAAUUUAGAAAACUGCCAGCCGCAGUAUGAGAAAUCGUAUGCAGUAUCAGUAUUCUGAUGAAGUUUCAAGGUUCAAUGAAAUCGAAGUACCAGUACUUACAUCCAAAAAGCGAUUUGAGCUCCACCAGGCCAAACAGGCGGAAAAAGAGACGACCGCAAGGAAAAGUAAAUUAAAUGUGACGAAAAACGUGCUGAACGCAUGAAGAAUGCAAAAUUGAAAAGGUUGUCUUCUAUCAAAAUAUUAGAGGAGAAUUUGGAAGAAACUUCCA